GCUCGGAACAGGAGUUGUCACCAAAGUUGUGGACACCAUCGAGUGAAACGAAGGCAAAAAUAACUAGGUCACCAUCUCCUUCUUCGUUAACCCAUUCGAUACAUCACUCGAACACCUUCAAAUCCAAACCCUAUUUCAUCGAUUAUCUCCCUAUUUGCCGGCUGAUUCAGUCUCCAAUUUUGAUUUUGAGGUUCGAAGAGGUUAGAAUUUCAAGAAACUAGGGUUACGAAAGGGAUCCAAGGUGUAGAUUACGAUAUCGGAAGCCAGUUUAACAGUAAUUAAUAACUACGCCAUGGAAGAGCCGAAACACAAAUCUAGCAGGAAGGAUGAUUCUGUUAAGAAAGAGGAAGAGUUGAAGAGGGGGCAUCGAGAGAAGGAGCGGAAUGGGGAGAGGCGUAGAGAAAGGGAGAGAGACAGGGAUAAGGAGAGAGAAAGGAGUGUUGAUGAGAAGUAUAAGGAUAGAGAGAAGCAUAAAGAGAGGCAUAGGGAUAAGGAGAAGGAGAGAGAGAAAGAGAAGGAGAGGAAGGAGAGGGAGAGAGAGAAGGAGCGGGAGAGGGAGAGGGAACGGGCAAAGGAGAAAGAGAACAGAGAGAGGGAGAGAGAACGGGAAAGGGUGAAAGAAAGAGAGAAAGAGAAGGAGAGGGAGAGGGAAAGAGAGAAGGAGAGAGAGAGGAGGGAGAGAAGGGAGAGGGAAGAAAGGGACAGGGAAAAGAUGCGAGAGAAACGCAGAGAAGCCGAGAGGGAUCACAAUGGUGCUGGUGGUAGUGAUGAUGUCAGAGAUAGAGAUAGAGAUAGAAAGAGGCGGAGGAGAGACGAUGAUUACAAAGAAGAGCGGGAACGUAGUACGAAGGUGUCUAGUAGUAGACGCAGGGAGGAUAGUGUAGAUAAUAGUGGGGCGAAUAAGGUUGAUGAAAACUCUUCAGACAAGAAAGAGGUAAGGACCCGUGAAGAGGAUAUGGAGGAAGAACAACGAAAGCUGGAUGAUGAAAUGGAGAAGAGGAGGAGGAGAGUCCAGGAGUGGCAGGAAAAAAGAAGAAAGAAGGAGGAGUCGGAAAGAGAACAGCUUGGAGUAGCGGGGGAGACUGAUGAACCCAAAUCAGGGAAGACCUGGACCCUAGAAGGGGAAUCUGAUGAUGAAGAAGCAGCUCCUGUAGAGAAUGCAGAAGGGGACAUGGAUGUGGACGACAAUGUGAAGCCCGUCCAUGAAAUUGGAGAUGUUAUGGUUAAUGGAUUAAAUAGCGAGGAUACUGUGCCUGCUUUGCAGAAUGGUGGUGAUAGGGGUGAUGAUAAUAUGGAUGAUGAUGAUAUUGAUCCUUUGGAUGCUUUCAUGAAUUCUAUGGUGUUGCCAGAAGUUAGCAAGUUGAGCAAUACCGAGAUUCCUGUUUUGGAUCAAAAGAGCUCCUAUACAAAGAAGGAUGACAAGGUUCAGGACAAUGGACAGCAGCGGAGAAAGAGUGCUGGCAGAUCAAUGGGCAGAAUUAUUCCUGGUGAAGAUUCCGAUGAAGAUUAUACUGGUGCUGAAAAUGAUGAAGACCCUUUGGAGGAUGAAGAUGAUGACGAAUUCAUGAAAAGAGUGAAGAAGACAAAGGUUGAGAAAUUAUCGCUUGUUGAUCACUCAAAGAUCGACUAUAUUCCAUUCAGAAAGAAUUUUUAUAUUGAAGUAAAGGAGAUACAGAAGAUGACCGUAGAAGAGGUUGCUGCUUACAGAAAACUACUGGAACUGAAGAUACAUGGAAAGGAUGUACCCAAGCCGAUUAAAACCUGGCACCAGACUGGACUGACAACUAAAGUUCUAGAGACAAUCAGAAAGCUGAAUUAUGAUAAGCCAAUGCCCAUCCAAGCACAGGCACUUCCAAUUAUAAUGAGUGGCCGAGACUGUAUAGGUGUCGCCAAGACGGGAUCUGGUAAAACCCUAGCUUUUGUUUUGCCAAUGUUGAGGCAUAUAAAGGACCAGCCACCACUUAUGUCUGGAGAUGGACCCAUUGGACUUAUAAUGGCACCUACACGGGAGCUUGUCCAGCAGAUUCACAGUGAUAUAAAAAAGUUUACCAAAGUAAUGGGUCUGAGUUGCGUGCCUGUCUAUGGAGGUUCUGGUGUUGCCCAGCAAAUUAGUGAGUUGAAAAGAGGGGCUGAAAUUGUUGUUUGCACCCCAGGCAGGAUGAUUGACAUUCUCUGUACCAGUGCUGGGAAAAUCACAAAUCUACGAAGAGUCACAUAUUUGGUAAUGGAUGAGGCUGAUCGUAUGUUUGAUAUGGGUUUUGAGCCUCAAAUCACUAGAAUUGUUCAAAAUACUCGACCUGAUCGUCAGACUGUACUGUUUUCUGCUACUUUUCCUCGUCAGGUGGAAGUAUUGGCACGGAAAGUGCUAAAUAAACCUGUUGAAAUACAGGUAGGUGGGAGGAGUGUCGUGAAUAAAGACAUAACCCAGCUUGUGGAGGUGAGGUUGGAGAAUGAAAGGUUCCUUAGACUGUUAGAGCUACUUGGAGAAUGGUAUGAGAAAGGUAAGAUUUUGAUAUUUGUCCAUUCCCAGGAAAAAUGUGAUGCUUUAUUCAGGGAUUUGCUCAAACAUGGAUAUCCCUGCUUGUCACUACAUGGGGCCAAGGAUCAGACUGAUAGAGAAUCCACCAUAUCUGAUUUCAAGAGUAACGUGUGCAAUUUGUUGAUUGCUACAAGUAUUGCUGCUAGGGGUUUGGAUGUCAAGGAGCUUGAACUUGUGAUAAAUUUUGAUGUUCCAAACCAUUACGAAGACUAUGUUCAUCGUGUUGGGCGUACAGGGAGAGCGGGUAGAAAAGGUUGUGCCAUCACAUUUUUGUCCAGUGAAGACGAAAGAUAUGCACCAGAUCUUGUGAAGGCGUUGGAACUCUCCAAUCAAGUUGUUCCUGAUGAUUUGAAAGCUCUUGCUGAUGCAUUUAUGGCGAAGGUAAAUCAGGGACUUGUGCAAGCACAUGGGACUGGCUAUGGUGGAAGUGGUUUUAAAUUUAACGAAGAGGAGGAUGAAGUGAGGAAGGCUGCAAAGAAAGCACAGGCCAAAGAAUAUGGAUUUGAAGAAGACAAAUCUGAUUCGGAAGAUGAUGAUGAUGGGGUGCGAAAGGCAGGAGGUGAUAUUUCUCAGCAAGCUGUCCUUGCUCAAGCUGCUGCUCUUGCUGCUGCCAGUCAACAGCCUUCAACUGGUGGAGUGCCUGUUGCUCUGCCAGGAAUUCUUGGUAUGCCUGGUGUUGCAGUCGGCAAUGAAGGGGCAGCUAGAGCUGCAGCAUUGGCUGCUGCCAUGAACUUGCAACACAAUUUGGCAAGGAUUCAGGCUGAUUCUUUGCCUGAGCAUUAUGAAGCAGAAUUGGAGAUCAAUGAUUUCCCCCAAAAUGCUAGGUGGAAGGUAACGCACAAAGAAACCCUGGGUCCAAUUUCUGAGUGGACUGGGGCUGCCAUCACCACCAGAGGCCAAUACAUUCAACCUGGUAGGAUCCCAGGACCAGGAGAGAGAAAACUCUACUUGUUCAUUGAGGGAGGUACUGAACAAUCUGUUAAGAGGGCCAAAGCAGAAUUGAAACGUGUUCUAGAGGACAUUACGACACAAGCAUUAUCUCUUCCAAGUUCACAACCAGGCCGUUACUCUGUUGUAUGAGAACCGGGCUCAAGUGUCUUCUGGUGUAUUUUUGCUUGGUUCUGCAUAAGCUUUGGCUUGAAGGAGGAUCCAGAUUGCACAUGUGUUGAGCAAUUGUCUUUGCCAUAUACAAUUGCUUUUAGUGGCUGCCAGGAGAUGGCGAUCACGUCCUUUUUCCCCACUAAAAACAUGUUGGUUGGGGAACGGGACUUUGUUGCUUCUUUGACAGUGGUCUGAAGUUAUGACUUAUUGCUUCAUGUAGCACCAUGACCUUGCAUGUGAGACAUGAUUUUUACUUGCAUGGAUUAUAGACUAGAGUAGUUGCUCAAUGGAACUAGGGUUUACUAAAAGCUUCCCUUUUCACGAGCCUUGUCCCCAAACACUUUGAUUGCCUUGCAUUUUGAUUGUACCAUGGUUUUUUUUUGUGUUAUACCUGGCCAGAACGGGAAAAUGGUGCUAUAUGGCCUGUUGUUGAAAUGGCUUUCUCGUGUUUUCCAUUGUUGUAAUUUAUACAUUUACAGAAGAAACAAGGAGUCAUAAAUCUUCCAAUCACUCCUGUUUUGAUAUUUCAUUCAUUUUCCUUGUCUCCUUUAAUUUCUUUCUUUCUCUAGGGGAUUCUGUUUUGUCUAAAACAUACAGAAUGUUUCCACUUCAUUGUACUUAAUUGUUCCUUAUUACACAUCCGGCUAUAAUAUUAUUGAUUCUUCUUUGCUUAUCUUUUUGUCGAUUACUGUAGGUGGAUACAUACAAUAACGUUCCCUUGUUACCAUAGUAGGAUUACGAAUUUAUGAGCAUCAAUUGCGCAUGAUAGUGGUCAUGGAUGAAUUGAAUUUAGGACAAGAAGAGUAGUAAUUGGCUUUAGGAUUCUGUGUAGCUUUGAUAAAUAAUGUUGCUAUAUUAUUGCCUUACCAUAGAUCUUACAGUGCUAAUGGUUUGCUUGAGAGUUGGGGAAAGGCAUCUUGAGUUGAUUUUAUCUUCUCUUUAUUUGGGAACAUGUCAUUGUGCCACUACUUAUUCUCUCACCCCCAAAAAUUGCAACUGUAAAAAUUACUUUUUUGCCAUUGUCAUCAUUACAAAAUUUUAUAGUGCUUUUGUUCUACAAGAUUCCCAUGUAUCAUUAAUAUUGAAGGGCAUUUAGACAUUUGAUAUUAACUAUUUAUAGAGUCGAGUUUUGGAGCUUUUAUGGGACUAAGGGAGUAAAUGAUUCAAUAUAUUUCUUCCUAUAUUGAUAUGAAAGGCAAGUAUGAGAGCCUGUGGAUAGAGAUUCUGAUUGAAGUUCUCUUUUAAAUCCUUUUCAUCCCUGUUCAAUGGAUAUGCUAUCUAUUAGAGAAAAUUCUUUCCAAGUGCUCUGUAUGAUCUGAUGAUAAAUGCCAUGGAUAAGUAUACCUGCACAACAUCUAUGUUAAGGAAAGGAGGGAAUCGAUGAUACCAUGAUUUUGUGUUUAGAUCAAUAGCUAAAAAACAGAAAUUCCGUUUAGUUUUCUAGGCAUAAUCAAUGCAAAUUCUGCAUUAGAGUAGACAUAGGUUGUUAGUUUGUGAUUGUUCCUUUUUGUCAGUCCAGUACCUUCAUGACUAUUGCCUUAUUUUCUCGUUUCAGAUAUCUACAAUAUGAAUUUGACAUGUUUUCGUUUUUGGGUCAUCAUCCAUUUUAAUUGGUGAGAUUGUCGUCAUGGAGGAUGAAGCUGUUGCCUAAUAUCAAGAGCUCGUUUAUUCAAGAACUAUGCAUUAUUGGGAGUACAACUGAAAGCAGUAACGUUUUUGAAAAGUUUGUGAGUCCCUUCACUCGUGAAAGGCUGUUAUGUUUUAGCUCCCUGGGUUUGUUUUCACAAUUAUUCGUAUUAUUUUACUUCUUUUAGAAUCCAACUACUGGGGAUUUGUAAUAUUAACUGUUCUUAUAGCUACUGCUUUAUAAAGAAAUCUUGAAAAAACCGACAAGUACCACCUUUGAGAUAUUGUUUUGCAUCGCUCAGACCUACUGUAACCAGUUUAAGAAAUGGGAUCAAGAUGACGCUUUCCAGAAAUGUUUUCCUAAGCGAUCGCUAUGCCAAUGGUCCUAGGAACUGCAUCCAAGAUUGUUUCUGCCACAUUUUCAGGUUAACUUUACAUUCAUAUAAAUUCAUAGUCCAAUGCUUUCUGAAUUCUCCAUAUUAAUCAUUUUGGCCUCAUGAUCUAUGAAUAUAGUAGUUUCAUGGUUAUAAAAGACAACUUAAAAUACAAGACUCUAACCUUUGGGGCGUAUGGUCUAUAUAAAGCAUAGCGCUACCAAGUACCAAGAUGUGGAUGAUUAGUGAAUGUUAAAAAACUAGCUUUCAAGGCGUUGACCUGAUAAUUAUAAAAUGUAUUAUUGUACCGCUAUAUGCAGAGAUGCCGAAAAAAGAACAUUGCCGAGUAUUUUUAGAUUUAAGAUCAGGUUCCAAUUUUAAGAUGCCUUCCAUUGAGAUGUGGAGAUUAGGAACAACUGAACAAAAAUGUGUCAAAAUGAUAUGGUUUUA